rnacentral:rRNA from 1 species
GACGAACGCUGGCGGCGUGCUUAACACAUGCAAGUCGAACGGAAAGGCCCUGCUUUUGUGGGGUGCUCGAGUGGCGAACGGGUGAGUAACACGUGAGUAACCUGCCCUUGGCUUUGGGAUAACUUCAGGAAACUGGGGCUAAUACCGGAUAGGAGCUCCUGCUGCAUGGUGGGGGUUGGAAAGUUUCGGCGGUUGGGGAUGGACUCGCGGCUUAUCAGCUUGUUGGUGGGGUAGUGGCUUACCAAGGCUUUGACGGGUAGCCGGCCUGAGAGGGUGACCGGCCACAUUGGGACUGAGAUGCGGCCCAGACUCAUACGGGAGGCAGCAGUGGGGAAUAUUGCACAAUGGGCGGAAGCCUGAUGCAGCAACGCCGCGUGCGGGAUGACGGCCUUCGGGUUGUAAACCGCUUUCGCCUGUGACGAAGCGUGAGUGACGGUAAUGGGUAAAGAAGCACCGGCUAACUACGUG